CUGUGUUUUUUGUUAUUACAACAACUAUUGCUUUGGCUUGGCCUUCGGGUUGGGCCAGAGACUUGAAUAAACUUCAAUUUUUUAUUGAAUUGUUUUUUAAAUUAUUGUCAAUUUGUUUGAUUAAAUUCAAAAUAAUCUUCAAAACUUUCAACAACGGAUCUCUUGGUUCUCGCAUCGAUGAAGAACGCAGCGAAAUGCGAUAAGUAAUAUGAAUUGCAGAUUUUCGUGAAUCAUCCAAUCUUUGAACGCACAUUGCGCCCUUUGGUAUUCCAAGGGGCAUGCCUGUUUGAGCGUCAUUUCUCUCUCAAACCUUUGGGUUUGGUAUUGAGUGAUACUCUUAGUCAGACUAGGCGUUUGCUUGAAAUGUAUCGGCAUGAGUGCGCUAGAUAGUGCUUUCUGAUUAUUCAAUGUAUUAGGUUUAUCCAACUCGUUGAAGGAUCAGGUGUAAAUUUCUGGUGGCAAUUGCUCGGCCUUACAACGACAAACAAGUUUGACCUCAAAUCAGGUAAGAAUACCCGCUGAACUUAAGCAUAUCAAUAAG
rnacentral:rRNA from 1 species